UACGAAGGGGGCUAGCGUUGUUCGGAAUUACUGGGCGUGAAGCGCACGUAGGCGGGUCGUUAAGUCAGGGGUGAAAUCCCAGAGCUCAACUCUGGAACUGCCUUUGAUACUGGCGACCUAGAGUUCGGAAGAGGUUAGUGGAAUUCCCAGUGUAGAGGUGAAAUUCGUAGAUAUUGGGAAGAACACCAGUGGCGAAGGCGGCUAACUGGUCCGAUACUGACGCUGAGGUGCGAAAGCGUGGGGAGCAAACAGGAUUAGAAACCCCGAGUAGU
rnacentral:rRNA from 1 species